GUUGCUUUUGGAGGUUUGGAAGGGAGGCUUGCUCGGAUUUGCUUCUGGUUCUGGUUCUCGCAGCUGUUGGAGCCUCUGCCACCAUCAGAGCUGCCAUUGAAGCUAUUGAUUUGGUUCCAAUUCCUCCAUUUUUUAGACCUGCUGCAUCUCUAUUUUCCCUGUUUACUGCUAAAACUAUCAUAGGGGAUACUGUUGAUGUCAUCAGGAAACUGUUAGAGCUGCUGUUGUUGCUAAUGCGAGUUAGAACGAAGUUGGAGUCACGUUUAAUUUUGUGGAUUUCAACUAACUGAGUGAUACAGGUUCGAAGACACAGUGUGAAGCUGGGGCGAUUGUUAGACCUUAUUUAUGAGUUAAGUUUUUGAAUUAAGUU